rnacentral:rRNA from 1 species
CAAUAGCGUAUAUUAAAGUUGUUGCGGUUAAAAAGCUCGUAGUUGGAUUUCUGUUGAGGGCGACCGGACUACGGCAUUUUACCGGUGCCAUUGUUCAGUUCGCGUUUAUGGCCUUGGCCUGGCUGGUCCUUUUGGGGCCAAUUCCCCUUCCUUUUGGGGGGAAACGACUCCAUGCUUUAAUUGCACGGAUCGGGAUUCAAGACUUUUACUUUGAGGAAAUUAGAGUGUUCACGGCAAGCAAGUGCUUUGAAUACAUUAGCAUGGAAUAAUAAUAUAGGACCUUUGUUCUAUUUUGUUGGUUUCUAGAACUAAGGUAAUGAUUAAUAGGGACAAUUGGGGGCAUUCGUAUUAACGCGUCAGAGGUGGAAUUCUUGGAUUGCGUUACGACGAACUACUGCGAAAGCAUUUGCCAAGGAUGUUUUCAUUGAUCAAGAACGAAAGUAUGGGGAUCGAAGAUGAUCAGAU